CGCCACAUCUACGGCGGCUUAGACACUACCGGAGGAGCUGGUAAUAUUAUUAAUGGUCGGAAUAAAAAUGGUUGGCUCGCACCGGCACCCACUCUCGGUUUUCCACCUCCACCGCACGUGGCUGUCACGCCGCCACCUGUCCACAACCUUCAUUUUAGACCGUUGCACGUGUGGGGACAUCCCACGGUUGACCACUCCGUCAUGCCACACGUUUGGCCCAAACACUUACCUCCACCGUCUACUGCCAUGGCUACUCCUCCUCCGUUUUGGGUCUCGGAUUCUCCCUAUUGGCCUAGGGUGAGCUCUCACACACACUAAUUUUUUUUUUUUUUUUAUUAAGAAACCAUGCAUCCUAAAAGGAAUAUGUGCUAUUAUUUUGAAAAAUUCAAAUUUAGUGGGUAUAGGUUUGGAAUAAAAACUUUAAAAUAGCUUAUUUUAGAGAACUGUCUGUCUGUCCAUUAUGUUAUAUUUCAAGCUCAAAUAUAAUUUUUUUAGACCGGAUAAUAGCUAGGACUGUUAAAAUAUUUCUUAUGUGGUUAACGUUAAUUUAGUCAAACUCCUUCCAAACUAACUUUUUAAUUUGGUCG
rnacentral:lncRNA from 1 species